rnacentral:rRNA from 1 species
CAGUCGCCGCGGUAAUACCGAGGGUGCAAGCGUUAAUCGGAAUUACUGGGCGUAAAGCGCGCGUAGGUGGUUUGUUAAGUUGGAUGUGAAAUCCCCGGGCUCAACCUGGGAACUGCAUCCAAAACUGGCAAGCUAGAGUAUGGUAGAGGGUGGUGGAAUUUCCUGUGUAGCGGUGAAAUGCGUAGAUAUAGGAAGGAACACCAGUGGCGAAGGCGACCACCUGGACUGAUACUGACACUGAGGUGCGAAAGCGUGGGGAGCAAACAGGAUUAGAUACCCGCGUAGUCCCUGUCUCUUAUAC